AGAUUGAAGCAGCUUCAUCUCAUUCCUGGUUCAUCCUGAUUCCCUCAGUGGCUUGCUCCUGCAUUAGUAAUGUAAAACUGGCCCAAAAGGGUUUAAAAUUGUCAGAAGUUGAUCUUGAUCAGUUCAAAUAUUUUUUGACAAAGAAAAUCAGUUCUGGUCAGUUCAAAUCUAUUUUGACCAGUUUAAACCAAUUCUGCAGAACUCGAGCCUGUGGUCGGUAAACCCAGGAAGAUGGCUGAAGACUAUGCUGAUUCAAGCCAAAGCAAGGAAUCAGCUGGGAAUGGAAAAGUCUUCUGGAUGCACAUCUUCCUGGAGUCUGACUCAGCUGGGGAUAAAAAGAAGCAAAAGAAAUGCAUAGGGAGGAGAGAAAAAAGAAGGAAUGCAAGACAGGAAUAAUAAACAAGAACCAGGAAAGAAAAGAUAAGCAAAGUGAAGAGGAGAAGAAAUGAGAAAAGAGUAGAGUGAAGCAGAAGGCAAAAAGAAAAAGAAGAAAGAAUAGU
ensembl:lncRNA MIR325HG MIR325 host gene